rnacentral:rRNA from 1 species
UACGUAGGGGGCAAGCGUUGUCCGGAAUCAUUGGGCGUAAAGCGCGUGUAGGCGGCUCGAUAAGUCUGCUGUGAAAGUCCAGGGCUCAACCCUGGGAUGCCGGUGGAUACUGUCGAGCUCGAGUCCGGAAGAGGCGAGUGGAAUUCCUGGUGUAGCGGUGAAAUGCGCAGAUAUCAGGAAGAACACCCGUGGCGAAGGCGGUUCUCUGGGACGGUACUGACGCUGAGACGCGAAAGCGUGGGGAGCGAACAGG